ACUGCGAAUGGCUCAUUAAAUCAGUUAUCGUUUAUUUGAUAAUACCUUACUACUUGGAUAACCGUGGUAAUUCUAGAGCUAAUACAUGCUGAAAAUCCCGACUUCGGAAGGGAUGUGUUUAUUAGAUAAAAAACCAAUGCCCUUCGGGGCUUUUUGGUGAUUCAUGAUAACUUUACGGAUCGCAUAGCCUUGCGCUGGCGACGGUUCAUUCAAAUUUCUGCCCUAUCAACUUUCGAUGGUAAGGUAUUGGCUUACCAUGGUUUCAACGGGUAACGGGGAAUUAGGGUUCGAUUCCGGAGAGGGAGCCUGAGAAACGGCUACCACAUCCAAGGAAGGCAGCAGGCGCGCAAAUUACCCAAUCCCGACACGGGGAGGUAGUGACAAUAAAUACUGAUACAGGGCUCUUUUGGGUCUUGUAAUUGGAAUGAGUACAAUUUAAACCUCUUAACGAGGAACAAUUGGAGGGCAAGUCUG
rnacentral:rRNA from 1 species